AUAGGUUAGGUUAGCAGAAAUCAAUCUUUCCCUUUCCCCUUAUCCGCACGCUCGACCCUUUUCUGCUUCUACCGUGUAGACUCUGCAAUCUCCCUCUACUGCUUUUUCGUUUUCAACGGCGUUCUGCAGCUACCCUUCCCUGAGCUAUGCGUUUUCCUCUACUCUGCUCGUCCCUAUGGACAUCACUUUACAGAACUUGAUGCAUGCCCGAAUUUAUGAACCAUUGUCAUGUUCAUAUGUUCAUUGAUCAACCAGUUCCCACUCUUUCUGCCGCACUGUUCAGUUAAUCCGUUUUUAAUUUGGUGGGGACAAUGGCGCCGGUGUGGAGGAGUGUUCCUUUGAAGGAGUGAUGUCUCUGUUCUGGUGGUGGCUCUGCAAACAAAGAAAGUGGGUAUUCUAGGUCUCAAGUUCUGCAAAGGUUUAUUGAUGUUGCAAUUUUUCUUGAUUCCACUCUUCAACCUCAUUGUAAAAUAUAACAGCUGAAACUAUAGUAUAAUAAACCGAAUGAUUUGUGGUUGUUCCUUCAGUAGUUCUAUCACCUGCUCUAUUGACGGGAGAUUAAGUGCUUAUUGAAGUUCAAUGCUUAUUUUGCAUGUAGUAUGUGAUCUCCAUGGAAAAGAGUAUUUCUCAAGGGGUGUUUUUCCUUCUAAUUGGACAAGAGUAUAGUUAGUGCUUGAAUGUUGAAUAAAUAUGAAUAUUCUAAUCCAUGUAUGAGCAUUAGUUUCAUUUUCCUUCUUGCAUUUCAAUUUUCAGAUCCUUGGAAGAUAUUUUCAUUUUCCUCAGCUACUCAAGGUGCUUUCCAGGUUGUUUGAUUCGAUAACUUCCAAAUCUUGCUGGACUCUAUUGUUUGUUGAUCCUGUGCUUAAAAAUUGUCCCUUUGAUUGUGAGAUUGCUCAUCCUUGGGUGUUCAUCCAGUUCCUUUAUUAGUUUUCCUUACCCCUGUUCUGUUGACUCCUUCCUCCCAAUGGGAAAUCCAAGGGGACUGCCAGUGCAAGGGCUUCAGACUCUUUUGUUUUUAUUGUUUAGGAAUUAGGACUGUAUUUUGUUGGCCUGAAAUGGGGCUCUGUUUCUAUGUCUUCAGAAGCAAUUCAUGUGAGAUGAUCUGAUGAAUAUAAGUUGUUGUCUCUCAAUAUUCUAUCUUAAUGUACUUUGAAUAUGGAAACUUUUUAAUUGUGAUGUCUAGGUGAUGCUUAUCUUCAAUAACGAAAUUGCAAUUUUUUUCAUAUUCUGAUUUCAUCCUAUAUGAGUAGAAUGUGUUAUUUUUAUUGGUGUUUGAAAUGUGUGCUAUUUAGCUACAUUUACAGAUUCUCUAUGAUGUUUAAUAUAAAUUUAUGUUAAAUCUCCAUCUUCCAUUUGAUAUCAUUCUCUAAUGUUUAUGCUUUUGGAGUGGUUUUAUUAGAGCUCAUUACUUGCCGGAAGCCAAUUGAAGCAACCAGGUCUCCAAGAGAGGUGGACUUUGUCUUAUGGAUUUGAAUGUAUCACCAUUAGAGAUGAGUUUCCAACUGCAUGCAAACCCUUCAUCUACUGGGUUUUUCUUUCUCUCAUUGUCUUUGCCAAUGUUAGCACUAGCAGUCAAUUUUAUCUUCCAGAAACUUAAAUGCACACAUAUUCCAAUGGUUGCUUCUCAUUGAACUAAAAGCAUUUUGAGCAGACCUCUUUGUGUGGAUGCUUCUUACAGUGGAUGCUUCAAGUCUUGGUGCCAUAAGUUACAUGGAUUGCAUAGGAAAGGACAAAUAUGGUGAAGAGAGGAAGAAAAAUUUUAAACUUGCUGGUGAAAAUGGAAUGAAUAGAUGUCAUUUAAUGAGUAUCAAAAAAUCUCAAGAAAUUGGUCACCAGUUAGGAUAUUGCCUCUGACAUCAUCAAGGAAUUCUGAUAUAAGUCAAAUUACUGCUUCCCAUCUACAUCAAUCAUGAAGCCGUGAAAGUUUGAGGAUUUGAAAGUUGUUAUCGGUGGAUUACCUAAACAAUCAAUUGUAUAACUUCCUCUCUUUUUUCACAUGUAUUUUCACAUAGAUUAUUGAAACUCGAUGGAAAUUUCCAUGUUUAAAAGGUGGAAUGGAAAAGCAAAAAAUAAUGACAUUGUUGGGUACUCCUUCGUGAUACCUGAACACCGAAUACUAAAAUCACCUCCAUAGAUUUGCUUAAAUUCUAAUUUUUCACUGUUGAUAAAAA